rfam:Mustela putorius furo unplaced genomic scaffold scaffold00050, whole genome shotgun sequence.
AGCUUUGCGCAGUGGCAGUAUCGUAGCCAAUGAGGUUUAUCCGAGGCGCGAUUAUUGCUAAUUGAAAACUUUUUGUAAUCAUAUAGGUUUUUUUUUCCUAAAGUAUUUUGGGAUGCAAUUUCUUUUAAUAGAUCAAAAUA